rnacentral:rRNA from 1 species
GUAGGGUGCAAGCGUUAAUCGGAAUUACUGGGCGUAAAGCGUGCGCAGGCGGUUUUGUAAGUCUGUCGUGAAAGCCCCGGGCUCAACCUGGGAAUUGCGAUGGAGACUGCAAGGCUUGAGUCUGGCAGAGGGGGGUAGAAUUCCACGUGUAGCAGUGAAAUGCGUAGAGAUGUGGAGGAACACCGAUGGCGAAGGCAGCCCCCUGGGUCAAGAUUGACGCUCAUGCACGAAAGCGUGGGGGGAGCAAACAGGAUUAGAUACCCUGGUAGUCCACGCCCCUAAACGAUGUCUACUAGUUGUCGGGUUUUAAUUAACCUUGGUAACGCAGCUAACGCGUGAAGUAGACCGCCUGGGGAUACGGUCGCAAGAUUA